GACGAACGCUGGCGGCGUGCCUAAUACAUGCAAGUAGAACGCACAGUUUAUACCGUAGCUUGCUACACCAUAGACUGUGAGUUGCGAACGGGUGAGUAACGCGUAGGUAACCUGCCUGGUAGCGGGGGAUAACUAUUGGAAACGAUAGCUAAUACCGCAUAAUAUUAAUUAUUGCAUGAUAAUUAAUCGAAAGGUGCAAUUGCACCACUACCAGAUGGGCCUGCGUUGUAUUAGCUAGUAGGUGAGGUAACGGCUCACCUAGGCGACGAUACAUAGCCGACCUGAGAGGGUGAUAGGCCACACUGGGACGGAGACACGGCCCAGACUACUACGGGAGGCAGCAGUAGGGAAUCUUCGGCAAUGGACGAAAGUCUGACCGAGCAACGCCGCGUGAGUGAAGAAGGUUGUCGGAUCGUAAAGCUCUGUUGUAAGAGAAGAACGGGUGUGAGAGUGGAAAGUUCACACUGUGACGGUAUCUUACCAGAAAGGGACGGCUAACUACGUG
rnacentral:rRNA from 1 species